rnacentral:ncRNA from 2 species
CCAAAAAGAAACAGGAGCGCUCAUAUAGGUUCGCUGGGAAGGGUGCGAACGUCUCUACGGAGCCGCCGAAAGGCUCUGCUAUGGGUGUCUGGCCGGUGGGC